rnacentral:rRNA from 1 species
AGUGAACGCUGGCGGUAGGCCUAACACAUGCAAGUCGAACGGCAGCACAGGAGAGCUUGCUCUCUGGGUGGCGAGUGGCGGACGGGUGAGGAAUACAUCGGAAUCUACUCUGUCGUGGGGGAUAACGUAGGGAAACUUACGCUAAUACCGCAUACGACCUACGGGUGAAAGCAGGGGACCUUCGGGCCUUGCGCGAUUGAAUGAGCCGAUGUCGGAUUAGCUAGUUGGCGGGGUAAAGGCCCUCCAAGGCGAAGAUCCGUAGCUGGUCUGAGAGGAUGAUCAGCCACACUGGAACUGAGACACGGUCCAGACUCCUACGGGAGGCAGCAGUGGGGAAUAUUGGACAAUGGGCGCGAGCCUGAUCCAGCCAUACCGCGUGGGUGAAGAAGGCCUUCGGGUUGUAAAGCCCUUUUGUUGGGAAAGAAAUCCAGCUGGCUAAUACCCGGUUGGGAUGACGGUACCCAAAGAAUAAGCACCGGCUAACUUCGUGCCAGCCGCCGCUGUAA